GAUAAGACAGUUCCAAUUCCUGAAAAACUCAACGAAUGGGCGCCCCAGCCACCUCCAGAAUUUGUCAGAGAUGUUAUGGGCCCCAAAGCACCGAUAGCUCUUGGGCUGACGCUUGAGGCUNAAGCAGCGCAGGACUCCUUUUCAAGGUGACAUCCACCUGCAGUGUCUGGGAAGCCAGUGAGUCUAACUGAAAGAAGAGUAAAACUGAGCAGAAAAAUGAGCAUACAGGUGCCGAUUCUGACCAUUCUUCAAAACGGCAGGCUAGCGAAGAGGACGAUGACGGUGCCUCUGAGGAGGAGAAGGAUGANGCAGAAGAGCCCAGCUUUAUCAUGGAGAGAUGAUGGAGUAAGUUUGUGGCCGGUGUCCAUGUGUCCUUUUGCUGCCAAGGAGCCUGGAACCUGUGUCGAGCAGGGUCCUUUUUGCUGCUUUGGACCUUCAUCCUGGCAGAGUGUGGCCAUAGCCAUAUGGGUCAGGGCCGGAGCCAAGUCGGAGAAGAGUUUCUUUUCUCCUUGCUGCUACUGGGGUUCUGGGGAAAAAAGAAUGCCACGGUGCCCAUCUUGUUCUUCCUACCAUUGCUCCGAGGUGGUGUUUNCUCCCUGAAAGCUAAUGCUUUAGCCAUCUGUGUUUUUAAGCAGAUUCUUUUUCCCUGAGAGACUCGGGGAAAUACGGAAAUAGCUGUACGUGAAAGANGCUGGUUNGCCAAGNGUCCAGAGAGUUUCUGCUAAACAAAUCUUUACCAACAGUGAAUAUUUUUNUNNNNUUUNNNNANANANAANANAAAANAGANNNNNANNNUNU
ensembl:lncRNA